rnacentral:rRNA from 1 species
UACGUAGGGUGCAAGCGUUGUCCGGAAUUAUUGGGCGUAAAGAGCUCGUAGGCGGUCUGUCGCGUCGAAUGUGAAAACCCGGGGCUCAACCCCGGGCCUGCAUUCGAUACGGGCAGACUAGAGUUCGGUAGGGGAGUCUGGAAUUCCUGGUGUAGCGGUGAAAUGCGCAGAUAUCAUGAGGAAGACCAGUGGCGAAGGCGGGUCUCUGGACAGUUCCUGACACUGAGACACGAAGGCCAGGGGAGCAAACGGG